CUUUGUCUAUUCUUUUGUCAAUCUUAUAUUUUUCUAUAUAAUUCCUUUAAGCUGAUUUUCUUUCAUUGGAUUCCUAAUUUCUAGGACUUCAAUUUGGUUACAGGGAAUGCAAGACUCGUUAGAAAUUAUGGUUUUUUUUUUUUUUUUUUUUUUACUUUUGUAAGAAGGGUGUUGCUCCCUGCACCUUCUCAAGUGGGACAUGUACCUCCCCACUAUUUUAAUUUAUUUCAAAAAUAUUUUAUAUCUCUCCACAUUUUCUUUUAUUUCAAAAAUAUCCUACACCUCCCCACUAUCCUUAACAAUUUUUCUCUUUUUCUCUCUACAU
rnacentral:lncRNA from 1 species